AACAGCCUUGUUGCUCACACAAAGCCUGUUUGGUGGUCUCUUCACACAAACGCGCAUGAAAUUUGGUGCCAUGACUCGGAUCGGGGUACCUCCCUUGGGAGAUCAAUCCCCAGUCCUCCUGCUCUUUGCUCCGUGAGAAAGAUCUACCUAGGACCUCAGGUCCUCAGACUGACCAGCCCAAGGAACAUCUCACCAAUUUCAAAUCUGGACCCCACUGAAAAUCGGACUGUUCAACUCAUCUGGCAGCCACUCCCAGAGCCCCUGGAACUCUGGCCCAAGCCUCUCUGACUGACUCCUUCCCAGAUCUUCUCGGCUUAGCAGCUGAAGACUGACACUGCCCAAUCGCCUUGGAAGCCCCCUAGACCAUCACGGAUGCCGAGCUUCGAGUAACUCUCACAGUGGAGGGAACGCGCAUGAAAAAACCAAACAAACAAAAAAAUUUCUUUUGGUAGCAGAAUAAAAAAACAAAAAAAAGGACUUUUUCUUCUGGACUGAACUAUAUUUAAAUCUCAAAGGAUGGACAUCUCACAACCUUCCUACAGCAAGUACUGUGAGAGCUGCAUCUUGUCCCACUGGAUGGUCUUCAGAGACAAUAAUACAUAAUGGAGCUGUCAUCUCCUAUGAUAACAAUGCCUUCUUCUGGAUACCUCCUGAAGGACCUGCCUGAGGCUCUUUCACUGUUAGUUUUUUUUUAAUAAGUAGAAGGAUUACACUCUAAAAUAAUAAGUGUAGUAUAGUAAAUGUAUAAACCAGUAACAUAAUGGUUUAUUAUCAUUAUCAAGUAUUACAUACUGUACAAAAUUAUAUGUGCUACAAUUUUAUGUGACUGGCAG
rnacentral:lncRNA from 10 species